AAGCUUAUAAAAAAUCUGACGACCAAACCAUGCACUCUUAAUUAAACAGUCUCAGGGGCACAACCUAAGAGUCUAUUAGGUAUAGCUGUUAGAGAUGUUGUUGAGAAAAGAAAUAUCAUCAAUAUGAGCUUACAGGCCAAUAAUUAUUCUUUAGGGCCAAUGCAAGGAAGACUUUCCACUCCUAGACUUCUUAUUUGUGGAGAAAGAAACGAAGAGAGGAAUAAAG
rnacentral:misc_RNA from 1 species